GGCUCAGGACGAACGCUGGCGGCGUGCCUAAUACAUGCAAGUCGAACGAACUCUGGUAUUGAUUGGUSYUUGCAUCAUGAUUUACAUUUGAGUGAGUGGCGAACUGGUGAGUAACACGUGGGAAACCUGCCCAGAAGCGGGGGAUAACACCUGGAAACAGAUGCUAAUACCGCAUAACAACUUGGACCGCAUGGUCCGAGCUUGAAAGAUGGCUUCGGCUAUCACUUUUGGAUGGUCCCGCGGCGUAUUAGCUAGAUGGUGRGGUAACGGCUCACCAUGGCAAUGAUACGUAGCCGACCUGAGAGGGUAAUCGGCCACAUUGGGACUGAGACACGGCCCAAACUCCUACGGGAGGCAGCAGUAGGGAAUCUUCCACAAUGGACGAAAGUCUGAUGGAGCAACGCCGCGUGAGUGAAGAAGGGUUUCGGCUCGUAAAACUCUGUUGUUAAAGAAGAACAUAUCUGAGAGUAACUGUUCAGGUAUUGACGGUAUUUAACCAGAAAGCCACGGCUAACUACGUGCCAGCAGCCGCGGUAAUACGUAGGUGGCAAGCGUUGUCCGGAUUUAUUGGGCGUAAAGCGAGCGCAGGCGGUUUUUUAAGUCUGAUGUGAAAGCCUUCGGCUCAACCGAAGAAGUGCAUCGGAAACUGGGAAACUUGAGUGCAGAAGAGGACAGUGGAACUCCAUGUGUAGCGGUGAAAUGCGUAGAUAUAUGGAAGAACACCAGUGGCGAAGGCGGCUGUCUGGUCUGUAACUGACGCUGAGGCUCGAAAGUAUGGGUAGCAAACAGGAUUAGAUACCCUGGUAGUCCAUACCGUAAACGAUGAAUGCUAAGUGUUGGAGGGUUUCCGCCCUUCAGUGCUGCAGCUAACGCAUUAAGCAUUCCGCCUGGGGAGUACGGCCGCAAGGCUGAAACUCAAAGGAAUUGACGGGGGCCCGCACAAGCGGUGGAGCAUGUGGUUUAAUUCGAAGCUACGCGAAGAACCUUACCAGGUCUUGACAUACUAUGCAAAUCUAAGAGAUUAGACGUUCCCUUCGGGGACAUGGAUACAGGUGGUGCAUGGUUGUCGUCAGCUCGUGUCGUGAGAUGUUGGGUUAAGUCCCGCAACGAGCGCAACCCUUAUUAUCAGUUGCCAGCAUUAAGUUGGGCACUCUGGUGAGACUGCCGGUGACAAACCGGAGGAAGGUGGGGAUGACGUCAAAUCAUCAUGCCCCUUAUGACCUGGGCUACACACGUGCUACAAUGGAUGGUACAACGAGUUGCGAACUCGCGAGAGUAAGCUAAUCUCUUAAAGCCAUUCUCAGUUCGGAUUGUAGGCUGCAACUCGCCUACAUGAAGUCGGAAUCGCUAGUAAUCGCGGAUCAGCAUGCCGCGGUGAAUACGUUCCCGGGCCUUGUACACACCGCCCGUCACACCAUGAGAGUUUGUAACACCCAAAGUCGGUGGGGUAACCUUUUAGGAACCAGCCGCCUAAG
rnacentral:rRNA from 1 species